CCUACGGGGGGCUGCAGUGAGGAAUAUUGGUCAAUGGACGAGAGUCUGAACCAGCCAAGUAGCGUGAAGGAUGACUGCCCUAUGGGUUGUAAACUUCUUUUAUAUGGGAAUAAAACGUUCCACGUGUGGGAUUUUGUAUGUACCAUAUGAAUAAGGAUCGGCUAACUCCGUGCCAGCAGCCGCGGUAAUACGGAGGAUCCGAGCGUUAUCCGGAUUUAUUGGGUUUAAAGGGAGCGUAGGUGGAAUGUUAAGUCAGUUGUGAAAGUUUGCGGCUCAACCGUAAAAUUGCAGUUGAAACUGGCAGUCUUGAGUACAGUAGAGGUGGGCGGAAUUCGUGGUGUAGCGGUGAAAUGCUUAGAUAUCACGAAGAACUCCGAUUGCGAAGGCAGUUCACUGGACUGCAACUGACACUGAGGCUCGAAAGUGUGGGUAUCAAACAGGAUUAGAUACCCCUGUAGUC
rnacentral:rRNA from 1 species